rnacentral:rRNA from 1 species
GAUGAACGCUAGCGGCAGGCCUAACACAUGCAAGUCGAACGGUGUCUUCGGACAUAGUGGCGCACGGGUGCGUAACACGUAUGCAACCUACCUUACAUUGGGGGAUAGCCUCUCGAAAGGGAGAUUAAUACCGCAUAAGCCAGUAGCCGGGCAUCCAGUAGCUGUUAAAGAUUUAUCGAUGUAAGCUGGGCAUGCGUCCAAUUAGUUAGUUGGUGAGGUAACGGCUCACCAAGACGAUGAUUGGUAGGGGAACUGAGAGGUUCAAUCCCCCACACUGGCACUGAGAUACGGGCCAGACUCCUACGGGAGGCAGCAGUAGGGAAUAUUGGGCAAUGGACGCAAGUCUGACCCAGCCAUGCCGCGUGCAGGAAGAAGGCGUUCUGCGUUGUAAACUGCUAUUAUAUAGGAAGAAACGACCCUUGCGAGGGGCAUUGACGGUAUUAUAUGAAUAAGCACCGGCUAACUCCGUGCCAGCAGCCGCAGUAAUAC